AGUGACCUGCGGAGGAUCAUU
rnacentral:rRNA from 1 species